rnacentral:rRNA from 1 species
CCUACGGGUGGCUGCAGUGGGGAAUUUUGCGCAAUGGACGAAAGUCUGACGCAGCGACGCCGCGUGAGUGAAGAAGGCCUGCGGGUUGUAAAGCUCUGUCGGAUGGGAAGAAAACUCAUUAGGUUAAUACCCUAGUGAAUUGACGGUACCAUUAAAGGAAGCACCGGCUAACUCCGUGCCAGCAGCCGCGGUAAUACGGAGGGUGCAAGCGUUGCUCGGAAUUAUUGGGCGUAAAGCGCAGGUAUGUGGUGAAAGCCUUGGGCUCAACUCAAGAAGUGCCUCAGAAACGGCGAGACUAGAGUACUGGAGAGGGUAGCGGAAUUCCCGGUGUAGCGGUGAAAUGCGUAGAGAUCGGGAGGAACACCAGCGGCGAAAGCGGCUACCUGGGCAGUUACUGACACUCAACUGCGAAAGCGUGGGGAGCAAACAGGAUUAGAUACCCCAGUAGUC